UUCUGAGACAAGCUGUUGUUGAACAGUGUUGAAGCUAAUGAGACUUGUGUCCUGCUUAUUGUCCUCCAGUGCAUGGGCCUUUUGCAGGCAAAGUGCCCCUACACUAUGGGAAACGUAAAAGUGUUUUUCUUAAACGCAGGUGGAAGAACAAGCAGUCACAUUGUCAGUCACAUCUGACACAAAUAACAGCCAGCCAGGAUGAUUUAUGCUACUGUAUGAUGUGAGAAAUCCUACAUCUUUGGCUGUAUGUGGGGCCUACUCCAACCAAUAAGGUACAAUGGCUUUGAACGAUCUUCAGGACUUCUGGACUGAACACAGCAGAGACCCAACAUGUCUGAAGUUUCUGAGUCCCACUGUAAGGCACAAAUAUGAUGAUCUUCUUAAAGUGGGUUGGUUUUUCUUUUUCAACCCUUCUGGUUCUUGCAACAUUUUUACCUUUUCAAUGCUUAACUUACUGUCUACUGCAACAAUGCAUUGAAAAUGCUGAAAAGGAGUGAAUACCAAUAGGAAGCUUCACAGGAGACGUUGUUAUCAGGAGGUAUGUUGCUGGUAGUAACCAUGGAAACUCGUUUAGGAUGACCUGAAGUAGUCUAAGGAUAAGUAAUACAAUGAAAGCAAGCACAGAGAAAUUUAGACUGCUUAGUAGGGAAAAUUCAGCUCUUUAUGUUGUAUCCUGUUAAACAACAUGAAAUGCUACUAGGGAACAUUAAGAUGCAUGAGGUAAUUUAAAAUUAUUUUGGACAAUGGAAUUUGAGAUUCUCUUGUAGGAAAGUCUUUUGGCAGGAGAAGGGCUCUGUUGAUCUCAGAUUCAUUUCAGAUAACAUUAAUUACAAAUUUCAUAAUUCCAUGAGUCUUGCUCUAUACCAGUAACUUUCUCAGUUCAAGUACUAAGUGUCUCACAUAUAUCUUUAUGAAUCAACACUGGAAAUCCCUGUUCACUGAUGAUAAUCCCACUCUUCUGGAAAAUCUUGAUUGAAGGAGGAGACAUUUCAGAGACUAAGCCAACAACGUGCUGCUUUAGCAAGUAUGUAAAUUAAAUAGAUAUUUCUUAAGCUGAGGCCUGUAAGUGGGACUAAAACAACUGAUUUUCUCCUAGUUUACAGCAAGUGAGGGACAAGAAAUAAUUUAGUUAGAAACUUGAGUUUGAAUAAGAAGUUAUUUGGUUAGAAAUAAUUUCAUAGUCAUUCGACUACUUACUUUGCAUUUGUAUUCCAUUUCAGAGAGUCUGUGAAAAGGAAGUACAAGAAAUAAGUAAAUGGAAAUGUAAAGUAAAAUUCAGAUGUAGAUGAGUAAAUACAAAUACAUUGAAAGCUGGCAAAAUGAGGUGAGACAAAAUUUUAAGAUAUACUAAUUUACCCUACACAAGCUACUUACUGGUACCAAUAAGCUUGUUCUUCCAUCCUUGUUAUGCUCAGUUUGAUUUUGCUUUGGCACCUUUGCUCUCUUGCUAACCCUGUUUUAAGGAUACAGUUUUAAAC
rnacentral:lncRNA from 1 species